rnacentral:misc_RNA from 1 species
CAACAAAUGUAAAGGAGGUGAUCCAGUGUCAAGAAAGGUAUUGGAGCGAGGUGUCGGAACAGCCAGCGGGGUUUCCUGCUAGGGCAGCCCCUGGCAGUGCAACCACCUGGUGGACAUCGGUCUAACCGAUCCCCCUCCUGAAACCAUUCGAUUGGGCCGUUCCGCAAGGGGCGGCCCA